ACGUGUAUCGCGACGACGCCUGCCCGUCCUGCGGCCAGACCUCCACUCUACCUCACAUGCUCUGGGAGUGCGGGUCGACAUACCCCAAGUUCAUCAAGGAGGAGUGGGACUCGCUUUUGCGUAGCCCCGCUCUAGAAAAGCAAAUCCUGGCCGUCCGGCGUGCCCGCGACCGGGCCGGUGGGCUAGACUUGCCGGUCCCGACGUGGGACUAGCCGGGUGCGCGACGAGUUCGCGUCCUCGCCGGACCUACAAUAAAGUUUAUUCACUCACUCACUCACUCACUCACUCACUCACUCACUCACUCUUCGCAUUACGCGUGCGCCGUUUUCCCAUUCGCUUUCUGGGCUAUAUAAGGUUUCUUUCUUUCUUUCUUAUUUUUUUUUUUUUUACUAGAACUAAAGAAAGAUCGCGUACUCGCGACGCCUGCGGAGGAAAGGAUGUUCCACGUCAUCUCACAAGGUUUGUCAGUGGUGGCGCUACCGGAACUAACCCAGGGUUAGUUGUGGUAGUGAAACAUUACCCCGGAAAGUGGAUGGGGUAAUGGCGCCGCGCUAGCCCAAUUGGUAAGAGCAUCACACACAUAAUGCGAAGACGUGCGAUCGUUCCCCACCGGCGGCAAGUUGUUUUUUCAUCCACUUUCAACUCCAUUAAUUUAUAAUUUCUUUAUUUCAAUUCGUAAGUACAAGUAAUUUCCCCUGUGUUGUCCUUGACAUCUUUGUUUGUUGGCUUCUUAUGAUUAAUAAAAAUCGGGCUCCUCGGUUAACCCCCUUUCUUCUCGCUAUAUAUAUAUAUAUAUAAUGUCCUGCUCCUUCCCCUCGCCUCUCCUUCUCAGCCCUAUUAGUGGCCACUUGUGGGUAUUCGCCUCAAUCAUUCAGAACACCAUCGACACCCCACGCAUACUGGCCGAUCAAGUGCCAGUGCACAGCCGGAGAGAGCUCGGCACUGAAGGUAUCGGCGGCCGUCAAGGGAAACAUGUCAUAGGCUGAAGUCAAAGUCGGCCCGAGAGGCCCAAAAGGCUGCGACAAGAGAGCUAGAAACGGAGAAGGUGGAAGACGACGCGGCACUGUGGAGAUGGUGGGAAGACGAAGAGCCUGGCGGCAACGAUGCCAAGAGGCGCAAGAAGUGGCACACGCUGGAGCACAGGGGACCGCUGUUCGCGCCCCCAUACGAGCGAUUACCGCGCCACGUGCAUUUCUACUACG